UUCUGUACCGAUGGUAGUUAGUUUUUAUUUGAAAUAACAAAACAAAAUCAAUAUUAUUUAAUCAUUGGCUAGAAAGAUUAAGAAAGAGUGACCAGCAGUUUAGAAGUUUUAGUUUUGUAGGGUUGGUAGUGGUUAGUGAUAACCAGGUUCAACUUUGUCAGUUUUAAGUUCACUGGAAAUAUGGUCAUCUAAGUUGUGGUUGCUGUAGAAAAUUACAGAAAUCAACCACUUCUUGGUACUACCACUUCUUGUUCACCUUCUUAUGAUUGGUCCAGUAGCUUUUUGCACCACUUCUAGUUUGCAUGGUAUCUGCUAGUGCCUGUUCUGACCAUUAAACCAGUGUCUCUGUUUAAAGUAAGAUCUUUCCACUAUUUUAUUAUUUAGUAUAAUUUUUGGAAGUAACAACUGCAUAUUUAAUUUCAUUUGGAAAGUGUAUUUUGAGAAAUUUGACAUCCAUAAAAUAAAUGUAUCUUUGGCCUA